rnacentral:rRNA from 1 species
GACGAACGCUGGCGGCGUGCUUAACACAUGCAAGUCGAACGGUAAGGCCCCAGCUUGCUGGGGUACACGAGUGGCGAACGGGUGAGCAACACGUGGGUGACCUGCCCUGCACUUCGGGAUAAGCCUGGGAAACUGGGUCUAAUACCGGAUAGGACCGCACCGUGAGGGUGUGGUGGAAAGUUUUUCGGUGUGGGAUGGGCCCGCGGCCUAUCAGCUUGUUGGUGGGGUAAUGGCCUACCAAGGCGGCGACGGGUAGCCGGCCUGAGAGGGUGGACGGCCACAUUGGGACUGAGACACGGCCCAGACUCCUACGGGAGGCAGCAGUGGGGAAUAUUGCACAAUGGGCGGAAGCCUGAUGCAGCGACGCCGCGUGGGGGAUGACGGCCUUCGGGUUGUAAACUCCUUUCACCAUCGACGAAGGUUUUCUGACGGUAGAUGGAGAAGAAGCACCGGCUAACUACGUG